UACAGAGGUCUCAAGCGUUGUUCGGAUUCAUUGGGCGUAAAGGGCGCGUAGGCGGCGAGGUAAGUCGGGGUGUGAAAUCUCGGAGCUUAACUCCGAAACUGCAUUCGAUACUGCCGUGCUUGAGGACUGGAGAGGAGACUGGAAUUUACGGUGUAGAGGUGAAAUUCGUAGAUAUUCGCAAGAACACCAGUGGCGAAGGCGGCUCACUGGCCCGAUACUGACGCUGAGGUGCGAAAGCGUGGGAGCA
rnacentral:rRNA from 1 species